rnacentral:rRNA from 1 species
UACGUAGGGUGCGAGCGUUAAUCGGAUUUACUGGGCGUAAAGCGAGCGCAGGUGGUUUAUUAAGUCUGGUGUAAAAGGCAGUGGCUCAACCAUUGUGUGCAUUGGAAACUGUUAGACUUGAGUGCAGUAGAGGAGAGUGGAAUUCCAUGUGUAGCGGUGAAAUGCGUAGAUAUAUGGAGGAACACCGGUGGCGAAGGCGACUGUCUGGUCUGUAACUGACACUGAGGCGCGAAAGCGUGGGGAGCAAACAGG